rnacentral:rRNA from 1 species
GACGUAGGGCGCGAGCGUUGUCCGGAUUUAUUGGGCGUAAAGAGCUCGUAGGCGGCUUGUCGCGUCGACUGUGAAAUCCCGCGGCUCAACUGCGGGUCUGCAGUCGAUACGGGCAGGCUAGAGUUCGGUAGGGGAGACUGGAAUUCCUGGUGUAGCGGUGAAAUGCGCAGAUAUCAGGAGGAACACCGAUGGCGAAGGCAGGUCUCUGGGCCGAUACCGACGCUGAGGAGCGAAAGCGUGGGGAGCGAACAGG